rnacentral:rRNA from 1 species
AUACGUAGGGGGCGAGCGUUGUCCGGAAUGAUUGGGCGUAAAGGGCGCGUAGGCGGCCCGGUAAGUCUGGAGUGAAAGUCCUGUUUUUAAGAUGGGAAUUGCUUUGGAUACUGUCGGGCUUGAGUGCAGGAGAGGUAAGUGGAAUUCCCAGUGUAGCGGUGAAAUGCGUAGAGAUUGGGAGGAACACCAGUGGCGUAGGCGACUUACUGGACUGUAACUGACGCUGAGGCGCGAAAGUGUGGGGAGCAAACAGGAUUAGAUACCCUGGUAGUCCACACUGUAAACGAUGAAUGCUAGGUGUAGGGGGUAUCGACCCCUUCUGUGCCGCAGUCAACACAAUAAGCAUUCCGCCUGGGGAGUACGGCCGCAAGGUUGAAACUCAAAUGAAUUGACGGGG